rnacentral:rRNA from 1 species
UACGUAGGGGGCAAGCGUUGUCCGGAAUCAUUGGGCGUAAAGAGCGCGUAGGCGGCCCUGUAAGUCCGCUGUGAAAGUCAAGGGCUCAACCCUUGAAUGCCGGUGGAUACUGCAGGGCUAGAGUCCGGAAGAGGCGAGUGGAAUUCCUGGUGUAGCGGUGAAAUGCGCAGAUAUCAGGAGGAACACGAUGGCGAAGGCAGCUCGCUGGGACGGUACUGACGCUGAGGCGCGAAAGCGUGGGGAGCGAACAGGG